UGCAUUUUACCUUUUUCCCCUGCCAUCUCAAUUUCUUUACUGCUUCUGUAAGAGUUCCUUUUAUUUUUAAUCAUUUGAUUAUAGCAAGCUGUACAUAUUCUCCAGCACUACAAAUCCUUCUUCAUACCCUGGAACCUUUUUCUAAACUACUCAUAUGUUUUUGUAGCCAUCUGGAAGAAAUUUAAGAAUAUAAGACAGAUUCUUCAAAAUGAAAGACAAAUAUAAAUAAGCAUGCAGAAUACAACACAAGCGGCAAAGAGACAUGGUUUAUUAUGAACUGGAGGUGUUUUUGGAGACAUUAUGGAGGUUCCUUGGGCAAAGGAGGCUCUGAGGACAUUCCCGCAUGAGACAGUUGUGACAGGGAUUUUUCUGGAAUGUCUGUGCAGGUAUUGGUUUGGCUAUCCAUGGUCAGCACCUGGUGUCCUGCAGAACGAGAUGGAAAGAAGAUUGUCUUCCUACAGAGAGAAGCUAACCCACAGCCAGUUAUUUUAUUCUGGGGCAAAACACUUCUGUGGAGAUGCUUCAGCAGAAGGAUCCUUCGUCCAUGUUGGCCGUACCACUCUGGAAGAUGUAGGUGAAACCAUAGCACUGUUCCCAUACCGUACCCAAAACAGAAUCAUAGAAUCAUAGAAUGUCCUGAGUUGGAAGGGACCCACAAAGAUCAUCGAGUCCAACUCCUGUCCCUGCAUGUGACAACCCCACAGUUCACACCGUGUGUCUGAGGACGUUGUCCAGUCUCUUCUUGAACACUGUCAGGUUGGGGCUGUGACACCUCCCUGGGGAGCCUGUUCCAGUGUCCAGCACCUUCUGGGUGAAGAACCUUUUCCUCAUGUCCAACCUAAACCUCCCCUGGCACAUCUUCCUGACAUUUCCUUGAGUUUUGUCACUGGUUUAACCUGCAAGGCUCUCACUGAUCCAUGGUCCAAGCACUGAAGUAAUAUAAUUUUGCAGGGCCCAGAAAAGGACCCAUUUGGGUAAUGUCUUUCUUUAUGUCAAUGUGCAGGCACAUAGUACAAUUGAUAGUCCUGCCUAGAUGAAAAUAGAUACAUUUCAGAAUAAAUUCUUAUGUAUUAAGCUUUCAGAAAAAGCAGAUUUAAGCCUUAUCCUGAAAAAUGCUGAUAAUGUUCUUCUAGAUACCUUCAAUUUUGAAUUUUAGAGAGAAAACACUAGCAAGUAUUUAAAUUUUUCAGACAGGUAGCUUUUGAAAAAUUUCCAAGAAUUAAAAUGUUUCAAUGAAAUUUGAUCAUUUUCUGAAAAUGUGAAACUCUACUACUACACUUCCAAAAAUACAUUACAUGUAAUGAACUACAUGUUACAAAUACUGAAAGCUGUGUAUUUAGGUGAUCCUGCCCAAUUUUAUCCAAAUUCUGCUUCCCAUUUGUUAACAAUUUUUCAUCCUCUAACACUUGAUAAAUUCUAUAAUUAUGGCACUGAUGACAUUUCACACUAUAGGUGCAAAAUUAAUUUUAAAAUGCCGCUUUACUUUUCACUGUGCAACUUGUGACCAUUUUCGUGAUCACACAGGAAAUCAGUUUUCCAGGUAUGUGCUCUAGCAUGCAGAAGCAGUGAGCUCUACUUUUGCACAAGUUAAUUGUCAUCUUCAUUGUCUUGUUCUCACUAAAGUAUUGUCAUGUGUGAGUGUGACCUCUGUCAAAAGAAUAUUCCUGUUUUCUUCAUUGUAAAGAAAUUCAUUAAAAUAUUUGUGCUCUUUCACAAAUUUCUAAUUUUAUCAUGUGUGUAUUAAUAACACAGAUCUUUGCAUUUCUGUUUCUUUUAUUUUUUUUUUUGUCAACAUAUACACAAAAAUCUAACUUCACAGUGUUUCAUUUUAGUUUUAAAAGGACACAUUUCUCCAAAAACAACAGAACAAACAUUUUCAGAUUUUUUUUUUUUUUACAAAUUUAUAAGGUUUUUUCCCUGAAUUUGUCCAAAAAGCAUAGAUAUAAUUGCAUCCUUUAAAACCAUUUUAAUGAGAAUUGUUAGGUCUGGAAGAAUAAAAAUGUAAAUAACACCUGGGUCUGGAGCCAAAUUCAAUGCAAUCGGACAUCAUGAUGUGUUCUUCAUGUAGCUAUACCUUUUCCCCUAAACUAUAGCUUAUUACAUACUUAAUGUCUUGGCCAAGAAAAUAAUACCAAGUGUACCAGCAGAUUGUUUGGUUGGAGAUCAGCUGCAACUGGCUUGAGGCCACCACACUCAUUUCAUCUGUUAUUAAAGAGAUAUUUCAGCUGCGGGUUUCUUAGGAGAAAGCUUAGCAAAUUAACAUGCUUGUCCUACUGACGUCUGUAAAAUUGUUGCUUGUACAUCAGUUUGCGUCAUUUAGUUCAGAUUACGCAUUUUCUUUAGCUUGCAUAUUUCAAUGCUCAUUUAUACUGGAUAAAAUGCAGCACAGGGUAAGUGUAAUAGUGUUUCAGCGUGACAUUGUCCCUAGUCAAAUAAAACAUGCUUUUUAAGUUUGAGGAAAAUUUUCAGUUAUAUUGUCACUUUUUGAGUGUUAAUGAUGAAAAAAUAUGCCUUUUGAGAAUGUGUGACUGGCAGAUAAUUGCUUUCACAGGAUAAACUUAGUAUCUUUCCUCUUACUGUUUAACAUUUCAAAUCAUUUUACAUAUACAGAACAUUUGUGUCUAAUUGGAUGAAGGAUCUUAAUUCCUAUUACAAAAAAAAAUACUGUUAAAUUGAUAUUACUUCAUUGAAUUUAAUAAAGCCUUUGAAGAUCUGAGAACAAAGGGGCCUAUUGGUUCUUUAAUUAGUAAAGGAUUUAUUCAAUAAGUUAUCGGACAAGUUAAUUUACAGGACUUAAUUUUGCUAUUGAAAGGUUUAGCCUCCUUCCCUCCAAAAUUGGGACGAUGGACCAUUCCAAUACUGUGAAGGUGAUGACCUUGUGAUAACCCGUGUGUUCAUCAGUCAAAUUACUGUCCCCAGUAAUGAUAAUGCCAAAGCUCUGGAACACUGGGGCAGCUAAUCUGUAUUCAAAUUACACUCAAUGAAACAGCAAGCACAAUUCGAGUAAUAACUCACUGGCACUGAGAGGUGAAGGGAGAUGUUCAGACCCCUUCAUGCAGAUUGGACAUUAUCAUACAUUUCUUAGGUGUUGGACAGGUCUGCAUGAGAGGGUUGUUAAUGAAAAUAUCAAUCAAAAACUCUGCUGACUUAAUGGUCAAUUUAAAUUAAUUAAUUGGAAAGGAAAAAGUUGAGAAGGACAGCAUUGAUUGUUUAGCUCAAAGCAGUUGGUUGGCUAGGAGAACGAGGUUGCCCAAAUAGGACAAUGUUUCCUAUGUCAGCUGACGCCGUGUGUAAAAUCUUAAGUCUGAAAAGACAGAGAAAAGUAGUAGGAUGCUGUAAUUUGUACACUUUGAUACUUUGAAUCAUGGUUCACUGGGUUUGGGAAUGGGGUGCUGAAUGUAAUGGCAUAAUAUCAACCUUGGGAAGGAAAUCGGCAGGCAAGGUAGAAAUGGGUCAGUAUGCACCAGCUGAGGAUAUUUGACCCUCACUUUGCAGUCACAUGUCGGAAUCCUUUCAUUCAUGAAUUGUUUUUUAUCCUCACAGCUUGUACUUUCUAGCUCAGAACGUGUUUGUCAGUUUUACCCGAAAGGCUGACUCUUUGGGGGUCAGUGGAAGACUCCUAUCGAUUUAGGGGAGUGAAAAUUUCUGCCUACGUCUGCAAUGGGCUCCUCACAAGUAAAUCUGUGUUUCAAUAAAAUAUUAAAUGCCUGGAAGCAUUUAUAAGCAUUUUCUUAUUAAUGUGAAAGGAAAAGGAUCUGAGGUUUUGUGAAACUGAUGUAAUGUCUUUGGGAUUAAUAAAGUAUUAAAAUUCUAUUUUUAUUGUGUAUUUUGAAAAUAAAUACUUAAGUGCACCUGCCACAACUUCCUAUACCUAUGUAUAUUUAUAUCUAUAUUUAUAAUAAAAUAUCAGCAACGUUUUAUAAGAAAGUUCA